rnacentral:rRNA from 1 species
CCAGCCAUCCUUUAAAGAAAGCGUAAUAGCUCACUGAUCGAGUCGUCCUGCGCGGAAGAUGUAACGGGGCUCAAACUGUGCACCGAAGCUAGGGAUUUACAUUUAUGUAAAUGGUAGGAGAGCGUUCCGUAGGCCUGUGAAGGUGGCUUGUAAAGGCUGCUGGAGGUAUCGGAAGUGCGAAUGCUGACAUGAGUAGCGAUAAAGGGAGUGAAGGACUCCCUCGCCGAAAACCCAAGGUUUCCUGUGCAACGCUAAUCGGCGCAGGGUGAGUCGGCCCCGAAGGUGAGGCAGAAAUGCGUAACUGAUGGGAAACUGGUUAAAAUUCCAGUACCUUUGUUCAAUGCGAUGUGGGGACGAAGAAGGUUAGCUCAGCCGGGUGUUGGAUGUCCCGGUUCAAGCGUGUAGGCGUGUUGCUUAGGCAAAUCCGAGCGACUAAGCUGAGACGUGAUAACGCAACGUUCUUAGGAACGCCAAGUGAGUGAUACCAUGCUUCCAGGAAAAGCCACUAAGCUUCAGUUGAAUGAAGACCGUACCGUAAACCGACACAGGUGGGUAGGAUGAGAAUUCUAAGGCGCUUGAGAGAACUCAGGAGAAGGAACUCGGCAAAAUAGCACCGUAACCUCGGGAAAAGGUGUGCCCUUUGUAUGUGUAGCGCCUCGCGCGUGAAGCAGAAUAGGGUUGCAAUGAAAUGGUGGCUGCGACUGUUUAAUAAAAACAUAGCACUCUGCAAACACGAAAGUGGACGUAUAGAGUGUGACGCCUGCCCGGUGCCGGAAGGUUAAAUGAUGGGGUGCAAGCUCUUGAUUGAAGCCCCGGUAAACGGCGGCCGUAACCAUAACGGUCCUAAGGUAGCGAAAUUCCUUGUCGGGUAAGUUCCGACCUGCACGAAUGGCGUAACGAUGGCCACACUGUCUCCUCCUGGGACUCAGCGAAGUUGAAAUGUUUGUGAAGAUGCAAUCUCCCCGCGGCUAGACGGAAAGACCCCGUGCACCUUUACUGUAGCUUUACAUUGGGCUUUGAUAACAUUUGUGUAGGAUAGGUGGGAGGCUUUGAAGUGGGUUCGCCAGAAUUCAUGGAGCCAACGUUGAAAUACCACCCUGAUGUUGUUGAGGUUCUAACCUAGAUCCAUUAUCUGGAUUGGGGACCGUGUAUGGUAGGCAGUUUGACUGGGGCGGUCUCCUCCCAAAUUGUAACGGAGGAGUACGAAGGUACGCUAGGUACGGCC